UACAGAGGUCUCAAGCGUUGUUCGGAUUCAUUGGGCGUAAAGGGUGCGUAGGCGGCGCGGUAAGUCGGGUGUGAAAUCUCGGGGCUUAACUCCGAAACUGCAUUCGAUACUGCCGUGCUUGAGGACUGGAGAGGAGACUGGAAUUUACGGUGUGGCGGUGAAAUGCGUAGAUAUCGUAAGGAAGACCAGUGGCGAAGGCGGGUCUCUGGACAGUUCCUGACGCUGAGGCACGAAGGCCAGGGGAGCAAACGGG
rnacentral:rRNA from 1 species